GACGAACGCUGGCGGCGUGCUUAACACAUGCAAGUCGAACGGUGAAAGCGGAGCUUGCUCCGCUGGAUCAGUGGCGAACGGGUGAGUAACACGUGGGCAACCUGCCCCUCACUUCGGGAUAACUCCGGGAAACCGGGGCUAAUAACGGAUAUGACCUCCUUGGGCAUCCGUGGAGGUGGAAAGUUCUUCGGUGAGGGAUGGGCCCGCGGCCUAUCAGCUUGUUGGUGAGGUAGUGGCUCACCAAGGCGACGACGGGUAGCCGGCCUGAGAGGGCGACCGGCCACACUGGGACUGAGACACGGCCCAGACUCCUACGGGAGGCAGCAGUGGGGAAUAUUGCGCAAUGGGCGAAAGCCUGACGCAGCAACGCCGCGUGCGGGAUGACGGCCUUCGGGUUGUAAACCGCUUUCAGCAGGGAAGGAGCCGCAAGGUGACGGUACCUGCAGAAGAAGCACCGGCUAACUACGUGCCAGCAGCCGCCGUAACAC
rnacentral:rRNA from 1 species